AUGUCUGCAGGUCGCUCUCAGCACACGACUACCUCGAGCAUGCGGCGCCGGCAGGAGGCCGAGCGCGCCGUGGCAGAGGAGCGUGAGCGAGCAGCUGUAGCAGCAGCUGCUGCGGCAGCAAGGGUGUCGAGGCUGGCUGCAGCGGAGUUGGCAGCAGCCAAAGCGGAGGUAGAAGCAGCCAGGGCGGAGUUAGAAGCAGUAGCAGCAGCGGACGCAGCACGUGAGGCUACGGCGGAUGCCAAAGCACUCCGCGGCGGCUCUGGCAGCUCCAACAGCUCCGCACCUGCGGACGACGGUGCUGACGCAGACCGCGCCAAAGUGGCGCAAGAGCGGACGGCGCAGUGGGCAGCCGAGCACGCCCGCGCUCCAGGUGGAGGUGCGCACCGCGACGGCGGCUGCAACGACCAGGACCGCGGCCUCUACAAGGUCCGGACUGUGGUCAGGGAUGUUGGUCCCAGUGCUGGGUGGCCUACCCUCACUAAAACCAACUACGUCGAGUGGGCCGGGAUCAUGAAGGUCAGGCUCGAGGUGCGGCGCAUGUGGGAGGCAGUCCAGGACAGCAACGUCAACCACCAAGAGGACCGACGGGCGCUGGACGCCCUCAUCGCCGCAGUCCCGCCCGAGAUGCAGUUCUUGCUUUCCAGCAAGCGGACUGCCAAGGAAGCUUGGGACGCCAUCGCCGCGGCACGCAUCGGCAGCGACCGUGCUCGCAAGUCCACUCUGCAGGCACUUCGUAAGGAGUGGGAGAGCCUGGCUUUCAAGCCAGGUGAGGACGUUGAUGACUUUGCUCUCCGUCUCAACACUCUGCUGCAGAAGUUGGUGAAGUUUGGUGAUGCCACCUACACCGAGGAGAGAGCUGUCGAGAAGCUCUUUCGGUGCAACCCCGAGAAGUACAAGCAGAUGGCUCGGUCGAUCGAGUCCUUGCUGGACCUCUCCACGAUGACAAUCGAGGAGGCGAUAGGUCGCCUCAAGGUCGUCAACACCGACGAGCCACAGCCUUCCUCGGGGCCCAUCACCACCGGCGGGAAGCUGCUCCUAACUCGGGAGCCGUGGGAUGCCAGCCUUGGUGACAGGAAGAAGGGGGAGCCUUCUUCCACGACGGGCGGCCGCAAGCGUGGCAAGUAG
rnacentral:rRNA from 1 species